AUUGAACGCUGGCGGCAUGCUUUACACAUGCAAGUCGAACGGUAACAGGUCUUCGGAUGCUGACGAGUGGCGAACGGGUGAGUAAUGUAUCGGAACGUGCCCAGUAGUGGGGGAUAACUACUCGAAAGAGUGGCUAAUACCGCAUGAGAACUGAGGUUGAAAGCGGGGGACCUUCGGGCCUCGCGCUACUGGAGCGGCCGAUGGCAGAUUAGGUAGUUGGUGGGGUAAAGGCUCACCAAGCCGACGAUCUGUAGCUGGUCUGAGAGGACGACCAGCCACACUGGGACUGAGACACGGCCCAGACUCCUACGGGAGGCAGCAGUGGGGAAUUUUUGGGACAAUGGGCGCAAGCCUGAUCCAGCAAUGCCGCGUGCAGGAGAAGGCCUUCGGGUUGUAACUAGCUUUUGUAC
rnacentral:rRNA from 1 species